rnacentral:rRNA from 1 species
UACGAAGGGGGCUAGCGUUGUUCGGAAUUACUGGGCGUAAAGCGUGCGCAGGCGGCUUCUCAAGUCAGGGGUGAAAGCCCAGAGCUCAACUCUGGAAUUGCCUUUGAGACUGAGAGGCUUGAGUACGGGAGAGGUGAGUGGAAUUCCCAGGUGUAGAGGUGAAAUUCGUAGAUAUUCGCAAGAACACCGAGUGGCGAAGGCGGCUCACUGGCC